rnacentral:rRNA from 1 species
UGGCAAACUGCCCGAUGGAGGCGGAUAACUACUGGAAACGCUAGCUAAUACCGCAUAAGGUCGCAAGACCAAAGAGGGGGACCUUCGGGCCUCUUGCCAUCGGAUGUGCCCAGAUGGGAUUAGCUAGUAGGUGGGGUAACGGCUCACCUAGGGGACGAUCCCUAGCUGGUCUGAGAGGAUGACCAGCCNCACUGGAACUGAGACACGGUCCAGACUCCUACGGGAGGCAGCAGUGGGGAAUAUUGCACAAUGGGCGCAAGCCUGAUGCAGCCAUGCCGCGUGUAUGAAGAAAGCCUUCGGGUUGUAAAGUACUUUCUGCGAGGAGGAAGGCGUUGUGGUUAAUAACCACAAAGAUUGACGUUACUCGGCCAAGAAGCACCGGCUAACUCUGUGCCGAAGGCCCCGGAAAUACCGAGGGNGCUUCUCUUGAUGGCAAUUACAGGGCAUGAUCUUCACGUUGGCGCUCUGUCAACUCCAAGGUCCAACCCCCGGGCUGGCCCCCGGAAC